rnacentral:rRNA from 1 species
GACGAACGCUGGCGGCGUGCUUAACACAUGCAAGUCGAACGGAAAGGCCCCUUCGGGGGUACUCGAGUGGCGAACGGGUGAGUAACACGUGAGUAACCUGCCCUUGACUUCGGGAUAACUUCAGGAAACUGGGGCUAAUACCGGAUAGGAAUCCUUGCUGCAUGGUGGGGGUUGGAAAGCUUUGGCGGUUUUGGAUGGACUCGCGGCUUAUCAGCUUGUUGGUGGGGUAGUGGCUUACCAAGGCCUUGACGGGUAGCCGGCCUGAGAGGGCGACCGGCCACAUUGGGACUGAGAUACGGCCCAGACUCCUACGGGAGGCAGCAGUGGGGAAUAUUGCACAAUGGGCGGAAGCCUGAUGCAGCAACGCCGCGUGCGGGAUGACGGCCUUCGGGUUGUAAACCGCUUUCAGCAGGGGCGAAGCUUGUGGUGACGGUACCUGCAGAAGAAGCACCGGCUAACUACGUG